UACGGAGGGUGCGAGCGUUAUCCGGAAUUACUGGGGUUAAAGGGUGCGUAGGCGGCUAUGUAAGUCAGGAGUGAAAGUUUGCGGCUCAACCGUAAAAUUGCUUUUGAUACUGCAUGGCUAGAAUCAGGAUGAGGUUAGCGGAAUGUGGCAUGUAGCGGUGAAAUGCAUAGAUAUGCCAUAGAACACCAAUUGCGAAGGCAGCUGGCUAGACCUGCAUUGACGCUGAGGCACGAAAGCGUGGGGAGCGAACAGG
rnacentral:rRNA from 1 species